GCAUUUUGAUAUGUCAAUCCAUAUCAGUUCUCUGAUGCGUGCAUGCAGAGACUCCCGGCAUCAGUGCAUCCAUGUCUCACAUUGCAGAAUAAGUAGCUAAUACCUGACACCGAGGAGGAUGAGACAGGCCAAGCAAAACUGAUCAGGGGUGCAAAGUGGAAAUGGAGUUGCAGGGCUCCAAAGAGGACCCAAAGUGGGUACAUAGGCACAGAGUGGUGGUAAUCUCCAUGUGAAUAGAUGUUAUAGGGGGAUGAGUGCAAGGGGUGCCUCACGGCCCAACAUCAAGAAAAUCAUGUCUACCUUUUCUCAACCCUUCUGCUUUGUACCCAGGUUCUUCUAGCUGAAACUGGAAAACCAGUGCCGUGGCCUUUAAAUGAAGAACAUCCAAAGUUAACCCCGCAGACAAUAAGGAGGGACCAUCUGUGAGGACCCCAGGCUGCUUGGGCUGCAGCCUCCCACCAGGUUUCAAACAUGCUCCCCCAAGUGUGGACUGAGAGAUGCACUGAGUGGAAAGUCACAGUUCAAUACAGUCUGUGGUCAAGGUGUCUGUGCUCAAGUGCAGCUGGUGCAGUCAGGAUCAGAGCUGAAGAGACCUGGGGAGUCUUUGGGGAACUCCUGUAAGUUAUCUGGGUACAGCUUUACUAGGAAUUGGAUCCACUGGAUUAAGCAAAUCCCUGGAAAGGGUUUGGAAUGGAUAGGAAUGAUUUAUCCCGGUGAAUCUGAUCCCAGGUACAACCCAUCCUUCCCAGGAAAAGUCACCAUCUCCACAGACAACUCCAUCAGCACCAUGUACCUGCAGUGGAGCAGCCUGAGGGACUCAGACACAGCCAUGUAUUACUGUGCAAGAGACACAGUGAGCGAAACCCCUUCCUGAGAGGGGCAGAAACCCUCAGCCUGAUGCAGCUGCAGAGCAGGAGUCUCAGAGGCACCUCUCAGUUCAGCACCAGAGGACAUAGUGUCUGCUGUCUCCUAGAGAGUGAGAACAAGAACACAGGCCACUGACAUGACAGGGAGACAUCUCCCCACGUGGGGACACUGAUGCCUCUGACUGGGUUGGGUUCUCUGGAGUGGCCCUCUGUGUAACUACUGAUUAACCGCAGGGAUAUAGAGCAGAUGACGUAAGGUUUCUUCAUGAAAUUCUCAGAGUUCAGCCCUUGCUUCCCUUCAAGAAUGAGCAGGUGCGUUGUCAUAAUAGAAAAAAAAAAUUCCCCAGCUCAAAUUUCGUAGCCGUUUCCUCACCAAGGCCAUUCCCAAUAUUACUAGAACGUCUUCCUUAUAAGUAGCCAUGAUCUUUGCUUGCUUUCUGACUUGAUUCAGUUGCCUGCAUUGAACUUGAUUCAGGAAACAGCUUUGUAGAAACUUCCUGGUGGAGUGGUGGCGCUGUGGCAUUCGCCAACUGCUCGUGGAUCCCAGACCUUAUACCAGUCAGGUACACAUGAGGAAGAACAUGGCAUCAGGCCUGGAGAAAGGCUUCUUAACAACCAGUGAUGUGAAGAUAAUACACUCUUGCUGCUGAAAGUGAGGACUUGAAACCCUUGCUGCUGAUGAUCAGGGAUUGCAGAGGUCAUUAUGUAUUAUGAUUCAAUGUAAAGAAGACCAAACAAUGCAGGCCGGAGUCCAAUUCUGUUGUUGUUUAUGAGUACUUUUCAUUUUGAACUGACUUUAAAAAGUAAGCAUACUUCAUGAAGACUCCAGACACCCACCUUCCUCCCAGCUCCGCUCACAACAGGCUACCAGGAAGAGCAUUCACUCUCUCUCCCAAUAGCUCAAGUCAAAGCAAAACAAAAAGUGUUACAUGACUCAGUCUUUAUAUAGUGGCCUUGAUAUUGCCUUGUCUGUUUGAGCCAAAUGUAGUAAAGUUCAAAGGAUUGGAAUUUUCUUUUAAUUUUCAGAAUCCUCAUGUAUUUAAACUCUGAAAAUUGUCUUUCAUUGUGGGACUUUGUGAUUCCUUACAGUUAUUAUUGUCCAUUCCUAGAUUGUUUUCUUCCUUCAAUAAACUCUUGAAUUUUAA